UACGUAGGGUGCAAGCGUUGUCCGGAAUUAUUGGGCGUAAAGAGCUCGUAGGCGGUUCGUCGCGUCGGCUGUGAAAACCUGAGGCUCAACCUCAGGCCUGCAGUCGAUACGGGCGGACUUGAGUACUGCAGGGGAGACUGGAAUUCCUGGUGUAGCGGUGAAAUGCGCAGAUAUCAGGAGGAACACCGGUGGCGAAGGCGGGUCUCUGGGCAGUAACUGACGCUGAGGAGUGAAAGCGUGGGUAGCAAACAGG
rnacentral:rRNA from 1 species